rnacentral:sRNA from 1 species
GAGCCGCUGCUCACUUUGCCGGCCAGUUUACACGGCUCGUUGCCAUUUGCAUGUCGACAAUUUUCCGAAUUGUUAGCCGUGACAGACUUGUGGGCAAACAGACACCACGUGGGGCAGCCGAUCGGCGGGGAUGGGGAAAAGGAUCUUGGGAUAUGGCUGGAUAUGGAUAUUCAGAGCACUGGAGUGGGGGAUUCGGCACCAGGUUCAAUAUGAGGAGAUAGAAGAUAUAGUCUAACCCACUAGUGGUCAGUUAGUAUCUUGCGAAUGCAGAUAGUAUCCAUGAAUGAUGAUGAAGUAUCUAGCAUCAGUAGAAGCGUUUAAGCCAAAAGAACUCUGGCCUUCACUCAUUGCAGUGGCAUGGGGUCACUGCAAUUCCAAUCCAAAAUAUCGAUUACGUCUUUACAAGAGUCCAAAGUUCUUUUCACUUACCUCAAGUCUGCUGGUUCAAGCACAAUUGAUGAUUGCUCAAUCAAAUGGCUGGCGAAAAUGCAAAAAGUAGGCGAAAAAUCAACAAAAGAUGAGAAAACAAACUUGGCGCUCGAACUCGGGGAUUCGGCUGACUUCAUAAUUUCAAAAAAAAAAAAAAAAAAGUUAACGCAGCUCGACGAGCGCCGCACGGUGGCAGUUUUGGUCCACAGAUAAUGGCCAAGCGGUGGGCGGGGAUGAGGUGGAGCCAGAGGGCCGGAGGCCUCACACACGGAAAGCGGCUGAAGAUCAAAGCAAGCGCCAAAAUGAAAAUUAUUACAAAGUGAUGUAGCAUGACUAAAUACAAUUUUAUGUAGUCGGGGGCUCUCGUCUCCCUUUGAGGUCCGUUCCAUCAGGAAUGUGGCUAUAUGCUCGGACUGGCCGCAGUUGGAGGUGGAUGUGGUCGUGGUCGCAGCUGCCGCUUCUGAUGAUGAUUACGAUGAUGGUGAUGGGAUGGGAUGGAAUGGCUACGGCGAAGGCGAAGGUGAUGGCGGUGCUGCACAGGAGCCAUAAAACGGAAUUAUACGCAUUCACACAACCGCAAAGCAGUUGAACAAACAAUGAUCCAAAUGUAUCUCUCUCUCUCUCUCGGAUCCCCGGAUAAUGUCUAAAUUUGGUCCGAACUCUGUGGCCCGUAAAAGUCAUUCGGGCCUGGCUAAGUGCCGUCUCCACUUCCAUUAUGAGCACAUGUAUGCAUGCUGGUCGAGGAUCCCAUCCAGCUCCAGCUCCAGCUCCAUCUCCACAGAGCUGUGGAGUCCGACUCUGGCAACAUGAUUGCACGUAUAGUGGAACAAAUUCAUGGCAUACGCGGCAAUCGCAGGCAGCACCUUGGCAAUCAGCAACGCAAACAUGGAAAGCCGGGGAUUUCGGCCAGGAUGACUAGUUCAAUGAGCUGCUUUAGUUUGUAGCGAAAUCUUCAAUCAAACAUCGUACGACUAUCUUCAAUCGGGAAGCGCACCUUGAUUAACCGAAAUUACCAUUGAAAUGCCCAAGAAAGCAAAACAAAACAAAUUAAUUCGUAGAAAAAGGUGUGAGAAAAUUAACUUGUCUUCCGUUGCCGGCAGCAAAAAAGCAAAAUAAUCAAUUAGUUUCGCAGAAUCGCUGCAGCCAAAAGAAGAACACAAAUCGCUUUUACGGAAUUACGGAAACUGUUGUAAGAAGAGGGUUUCGCUGCCCAGCGACGACAGAGGGACGGACCGCAGAUCCGACACCAGAUCAGCCGCCAGAUCGGUUCAGCUGGAUGAGAUGAAAUGGGAUGGGAUGAGAUGAGAUGGGACAUCGACAGCUACAGCUACAGCCACAACCAGAACGACAACAGGUAACAGAAGCCGUAUACGCCAGAUUAACGCCCGAGGCGAGAUGGCUUCGACUUCGACUUUGACUUUGAUCUGCAGCGACUUUUGCACUUGCGCAAAAAAAAAAAGAAGCCAAUCCGGCGGUAAGAAUUCCCAGCAAAUCAGAUUAUACACAGUAGGUUCGGUCGGUGGAGGGCCGAAAUUGUUUUAAUUAUGACAUUGCCCCGGGUGUAGGAAGUGUGAGAGUAGAGACAACAAUAAUAAUAAUAACAAUAACAAUAAUAACAGCGGACAGGCCGUUGUUCCCAGUGGCCUUUGAUGUCUUAUUCCUUUGGUCCAGUGCCGACAAGCUGUAACACCUGAAAAGGAGAUGUGUAUCUGGACCUGGACUGGUCGCAUCGAUAAUCUACGGGCUCGGCACUCAGCCCUGAUCUCUUUCUCCUCCCGACACUCGCAGCGGGAAUUCAAUUUGGUUUACAACAAUAAAACGUCUUAUUUAGGUUCGGUUAUUAAUGAUGAGUUAUGGGUUCAGACCUCCUUCGGAGACGAGCGGACCCAUCAUCAUCAUCAUCAUCAUGUUCCCAACCAACCAAUGUUCUCGGAAGGUAGAACGAAUCGUGCUGUCCUCACUGAUCUCGUAAAUCUCAACAUUUCUUCUACAACCUAUUCGAAGCGAAAGAAUUGAGCUGAUUUUUCCCAAAACUGACAUUUCUUUCAUUAUAAUAGAACCUUGGAUCUAUCAGUGGAUAAAACAUGAUGUUAGCAAGAGACUACGAAAUCAUUACUUAUAGAAAAACAAAUGGCAAUUCUUCUAAGUUACUUAAUUUCAGAACUUUUCCUUUAAGAAGUUCAACUAAAUACAUCGUAAGAACUUGAGAUAUAAUAAACCAUUAUAUUUAUCAUAUCAUUUAUAUAACUAAGAUAUACUAUAACAAUACUAAAACAUUUAUGCAAGGUAACUACUCUUGGCUCCAUUGUUUGUUCUUCCUAAUGAAUUCCAUAAAAAGUGAACGAUUCCCGGGUAAACGCUAAGAGCAGUUUGUCACUUCUGCUGAAACAUCUGUUCGCUGGAACUCCCUCCUCCACGUCCAAGUCCCCGCCCCUCUCCCUUGGGUAGAACCUACUCCCACGCAGUGGAUGGGAGUCCGUGUUUAGUUAACCUUUCCGGAUGACAAACGCAGAUCAUUACACCGAGUGCGACAACAAACAAAUGGGUUCUCAAGACGAAUUCCCCGGUGGGUUGCCAAACAAAGGCGUCUCGAGUCUUCGGCUCCGUUGUCUUCGGCCGUUUUCGAAAUCUUCUGAAUAGAGGAAGCGCAGUACCGGCCACAAUACAUUAGAAAAACUGUCAAAGCUGAAUGGGCAACUUAAGAGGUUUAACGCGCGCUCUUGCGUUUCUUCUUUUCUUUCAGCAUUUCCAGUUUCUACCUACCGCAGCAGUGAAAUUCUAUAUACACAUACCCAUACCCAGAACCCCACAAAACUUCAGCCCGCAUUUCGGAGUCGAUCAAGUUAUUAACUGGAGAUCUCGAUUCCUCCUCAGUGG